rnacentral:lncRNA from 1 species
GCCGCACCCGCCGCUCUCGCCCCACCAACCGCACCAGCCGCCGCACGAGAUGUCGACGAGCGGCCAGCAGUGUAACCUAAUGAGCUCGCAGCUCGCGCGGCAACUCGUGGCGCCGCUGCCCCCCGCUCAGCGACCCUACUACGGCGGCGGCAAAGGCAUGCCCGGGACGGUGGGCGCGGGCGCGGGCGCGGGUGCGGGCGCGCCGCGGCGCCACCCGGACUUCGCCAAGGCGGAGGGCGGCUAC